rnacentral:rRNA from 1 species
AGUGAACGCUGGCGGUAGGCCUAACACAUGCAAGUCGAACGGCAGCACAGUAAGAGCUUGCUCUUACGGGUGGCGAGUGGCGGACGGGUGAGGAAUACAUCGCAAUCUACUUUUUCGUGGGGGAUAACGUAGGGAAACUUACGCUAAUACCGCAUACGACCUACGGGUGAAAUCAGGGGAUCUUCGGACCUUGCGCGAUUGUAUGAGCCGAUGUCGGAUUAGCUAGUUGGCGGGGUAAAGGCCCACCAAGGCGACGAUCCGUAGCUGGUCUGAGAGGAUGAUCAGCCACACUGGAACUGAGACACGGUCCAGACUCCUACGGGAGGCAGCAGUGGGGAAUAUUGGACAAUGGGCGCAAGCCUGAUCCAGCCAUGCCGCGUGUGUGAAGAAGGCCUUCGGGUUGUAAAGCCCUUUUGUUGGGAAAGAAAAGCAGCAGGUUAAUACCCCGCUGUUCUGACGGUACCCAAAGAAUAAGCACCGGCUAACUUCGUG